AGAGCGAACGCUGGCGGCAGGCCUAACACAUGCAAGUCGAGCGCCCCGCAAGGGGAGCGGCAGACGGGAGAGUAACACGUGGGAACGUACCCUUUGGUUCGGAACAACACAGGGAAACUUGUGCUAAUACCGGAUAAGCCCUUACGGGGAAAGAUUUAUUGCCAAAGGAUCGGCCCGCGUCUGAUUAGCUUGUUGGUGAGGUAACGGCUCACCAAGGCUACGAUCAGUAGCUGGUCUGAGAGGAUGAUCAGCCUCACUGGGACUGAGACACGGCCCAGACUCCUACGGGAGGCAGCAGUGGGGAAUAUUGGACAAUGGGCGCAAGCCUGAUCCAGCCAUGCCGCGUGGAUGAUGAAGGCCCUAGGGUUGUAAAGUCCUUUCGACGGGGAAGAUAAUGACGGUACCCGUAGAAGAAGCCCCGGCUAACUUCGUGCCAGCAGCGC
rnacentral:rRNA from 1 species